AGGAAGUCUGAAUCUGUGAAGAUCUUUCAAACUUCACCCAGUCGUCUGAGUGCUGCACUCUGAUUGGUUGACUCCCCCCUCCUCUAGCCCCCACUCUGUUUUAUUAUCGGACACAGAUCAGCUUUGACACAAAUUUCUCACAAGGAAUGUGUCAGACGUCCGAGGAGAGUUGUAGAGUUCGUGAUUCGUGGCAGCAGAUUCGCUUAGUUCCAAUCCCCGAUUUGAGGUUGUAACUCUAAAUGUGUUACGGUUUCAGGUUCUUGCCUUUGUGUUUUGAUUCUCUUUUUGUUCUGGCUUGUUUUCAGUUCACUUUCUGUUUUAUUUAGAAAAGUUCCUGUUUUGUACUUUGGUUUCGAGUUUUACUUUGGUCCCCAUCUGUCCUGAUUGUGUUCACCUGAGUCCCGUCAGUCCUGUUUCUAUUUAAGUCUUGUCAUUCCCUUCCUCCUGUGCUGGUCCAUAUCAUGUUAUUCCCCUGUUUUGAGUGUUUCAAGUUUGAGUUUUGGUCAGCCUGCUUCAGCAGUGGUUUUUCGUUUGUAGUUUUGUUGACUUUAUUAAAUAUCCUGUUGCCUGGAACCUCCUGCCUCCUCCUCCUCUCUGCACCUGGGUUCUUCCACAACCCACGUUCGUAACAUUAUGGACCAGCCCGACGUGUACCCAGCAAUGAGGAACAUGCUACAUUUUGGAGCAUUUUGCCGUGAGGGAGAUGAAGAACAACCAGACGACUUCCUUUAUCCAGUAGUAUGUGACAUGCAGCGCCUGGAGGCAUAUUGCCAGGAGGCGGAGAGAACCUGGUCCCCUUGGACUGCUGACUGGGUCCACUUCCCCACCUCUGUGUCCGACGGGAGAAGUCUGGCUGUGGGAGGGGGCCGUUGUCGUUGUCACCGCCGCCGCCUUUCUCGGCGUCCCAGCUUGUUUCCGGAGGUGGACAAGGACAGACCCCAAACAGUCCCUGAACAGCGGCGUCUCCUCUCCCCCUCCCUUGUGGCCGAUCAUGACCCUGCGCAGGCGCUCCUGGGACUUGGAGGCUACCUGCAACAGUGACUGGUGGGCUCGAGGCCCCUUGUGGUUUCAUCGUGUGUUUUAUUUAUUCUGUCUUUUAACAUAUUUAUAAUAAAUCUCUCUUCAAUUUGGAA